CUGUAAAUAAGUUCGGUUCGCAAAAAAAAAAAUCAAACAACUAAAAAAAUCCUCCGAGUGUUGACAUAUUUAAUUUAGCAAUUUUACGCAACUCAACGAAAGCAGCUGCUACGCUACGGUCGCGAAGAGAAAGAGACAGAGAUAGAGAGAAAAGGCAAGAGAAGGAGAAGUGGAGAAGAGAAAAGAGGCGCGUUGGCAAGCAAAAAAAAUCAAAGUCUGUAAAAAAAUUAGUUGAAAAUUCUAUAAAUAGCUCAAAAUGACGCGCUUGAAACAUUUCUAAAAAAGUUCAUUAAACAUAGGAAGUCUUCGUAUUUUUUUAGUGCCAAAGCAACGCCACAACAACGCAUCAGCGAAAACCAAUAAAAGUGCAUAAUAAAAAGUAUUAAUAUUUAUUGUAUAAAAAGAGCUUUGUUCUUCCAUUAAUAAACAGUUUUCCCAUAAAUAAGUGCAAACAAUUGCAAUUUGCCACCAUGUCGCGUACAAGUAGUUUGUUUUUCAAUUCAUCGGUGAGUUUAGAGACUAAAAAGUGUAAUUGUUGAAAAGAAACAACAACAGCA